rnacentral:rRNA from 1 species
UACGUAGGGUGCGAGCGUUAAUCGGAAUUACUGGGCGUAAAGCGUGCGUAGGCGGUCCCGCAAGUCCGCUGUGAAAGCCCCGAGCUUAACUUGGGAACUGCAGUGGAAACUAUGGGACUUGAAUCCGGCAGAGGGGGGUGGAAUGCCACGUGUAGCAGUGAAAUGCGUAGAGAUGUGGCAGAACACCGAUGGCGAAGGCAGCCCCCCUGGGCUGAGAUUGACGCUCAGGCACGAAAGCGUGGGGAGCAAACAGG